rnacentral:rRNA from 1 species
AUUUCUAUGACCAAAGGCUUCGGCCGGUAAAGGAUGGGGAUGCGUCUGAUUAGCUUGCCGGCGGGGUAACGGCCCACCGGGGCGACGAUCAGUAGGGGUUCUGAGAGGAAGGUCCCCCACAUUGGAACUGAGACACGGUCCAAACUCCUACGGGAGGCAGCAG